ACCCAAUAUGGUAAGGAAAGAAAAGUAAU
rnacentral:tRNA from 1 species